rnacentral:sRNA from 1 species
GGAUUUAAUUAUUCCUCUCAGCUUUGGAAUCUUUUACUUCUCACUUGGACAAGAACUCAAGAGCAGAAUCUCCGUGUUGCAAUCUGGUUCCUAAGGAGGAAGAGGAAGGCAGCCCUGGAGUGGUUUCUUUACAGUAAUUUCAACAGAAGAGUGAGAGAUGGAACCCGAAGAAGAAAGGAUUCGUUACAGCCAGAGAUUGCGUGGUACCAUGCGACGACGCUAUGAAGAUGAUGGCAUUUCAGAUGAUGAAAUUGAAGGAAAAAGAACUUUUGACUUGGAAGAGAAACUGCACACCAACAAAUAUAAUGCCAAUUUUGUUACUUUUAUGGAAGGAAAAGGUCAGUAUUGUUUUGGUUCCAGCAUACAGUCCUUUGAUGUGGGAAGCCAUAGACUCUGAGCAUUGGGGGUUUAGCCUUUAUCCAGCUAAAAUAUUGCCUGUUGAUGUUAUCUAUCUAUUUUCUCUUGUUAUACAAUGCCAUUUGCAUGCACUUAUCCCCCAGUCCUCCCACCCUGUGAGUCAUUCUCUCCUAUAUUAGAAGUAAUCUUUUUAUUAGGGCAGGAGUAUUGUUGGAUU